GCUUAUACCAUUCCAUAUGAAUAUACCCGAUCUCGUCUGAUCUCGGAAGUCAAGCAAUCUCGGGCUUGGUUAGUACUUGGAUGGGUGACCGCUUGGGAAUACCAAGUGUGAUAAGCA
rnacentral:rRNA from 1 species